UUUCGCAACUGCUUGCCACUCGUCCCGUGCCUGGCUGUUUUUCCAUUUCCCGGCCCCCUCUUCUUGAGUACUUUACCCCCUGCAUUUGGGGACAGGGACUGGAAAAGGGGCGGGUGGAGCGUCCAGUGGAGAAGAAGGAAGCGAGGCCCGCAGGAGGAGGAGGAUCGGCGGACUGUGGGGAGGAGACCCCACGCCACCCUUUCUGGUCAUCUCCCCUCCCGCCCCGCCCCUGCGCACACUCCCUCGCGGGCGAGCUACUUUCGGACCAGGAAAGUAAGAGCGGCCCUGGGUGACAGCGCCGCGGGGCCAGUCCCGGGGUUAGCCGCGCGUCUGCUCGCUUCUGGUCCGUCGCGCUCCCAGCCAGGGCACAGCCCGGACCGAGGAUGGCUUCGACCACAACCUGCACCAGGUUCACGGACGAGUAUCAGCUUUUCGAGGAGCUUGGAAAGGGGGCAUUCUCAGUGGUGAGAAGAUGUAUGAAAAUUCCUACUGGACAAGAAUAUGCUGCCAAAAUUAUCAACACCAAAAAGCUUUCUGCUAGGGGUGGGUAUUUUCAACCACAUAUAUUGGUUAAUUUUGUAUUUGUCAUGUUGAUUAUAGGUUCUGUUGUAUGUAAAUAUAUCAUGUAGUUAUAACUGAACUUUAGACUUAGGUAUCAUAUUAUAUAUUAAGAUUAUUUUCUUCCUGAAUGCUUCUUGGUCUGUACAGCUUAAAAAUACAUGGAAAGAUAUAAUUAUUAUUUGAUACA
rnacentral:lncRNA from 1 species